GUAACUAUAUUCAAACAACAUGCAAAAAGGUUGGCUGCUUUAAACAGCAGAUUGAUUGGCAUCAAAGUUGGAGACUUUUGCUAUGUUAAAGAAGGCCUUGUUCUUGGCCAGCUCAUAGGAAACCGGUUCACAAUUACCUUGAGAAUCUCAGGAUAUUGUGAAAGCUGCAGCUGAUGGUUUGAGCAGGAAUGGGUUUAUCAACUAUUAUGGUUUACAGGUUGGGGA